AACGAACGGAGGAGUGGGAUGACGUCAAGUCAUCAUGGCCCUUACGGCCUGGGCUACACACGUGCUACAAUGGUCGGUACAAAGGGUUGCCAAGCCGCGAGGUGGAGCUAAUCCCAUAAAACCGAUCGUAGUCCGGAUCGCAGUCUGCAACUCGACUGCGUGAAGUCGGAAUCGCUAGUAAUCGUGAAAUCAGAAUGUCACGGUGAAUACGUUCCCGGGCCUU
rnacentral:rRNA from 1 species